AUUGAACGCUGGCGGCAUGCUUUACACAUGCAAGUCGAACGGGGUUGGGAGCUUGCUUCCAAUCUAGUGGCGAACGGGUGAGUAAUACAUCGGAACGUACCGUGUAGUGGGGGAUAACGUAGCGAAAGUUACGCUAAUACCGCAUACGAUCCACGGAUGAAAGCAGGGGACCUUCGGGCCUUGUGCUAUACGAGCGGCCGAUGUCUGAUUAGCUAGUUGGUGAGGUAAAGGCUCACCAAGGCGACGAUCAGUAGCGGGUCUGAGAGGAUGAUCCGCCACACUGGGACUGAGACACGGCCCAGACUCCUACGGGAGGCAGCAGUGGGGAAUUUUGGACAAUGGGCGCAAGCCUGAUCCAGCCAUGCCGCGUGUCUGAAGAAGGCCUUCGGGUUGUAAAGGACUUUUGUCAGGGAGCAAAACUUACUGGUUAAUACCUGGUGAGGUUGAGAGUACCUGAAGAAUAAGCACCGGCUAACUACGUG
rnacentral:rRNA from 1 species